UGUGUAUGAUGAGCGUAUAAUAGUAAAUUGCAUUUUAGCCUUGUUUUUACAUAUCCGUCCAUCUUUUCUUCUUACUUUUGCAGCAAUGGUUAAAGAGAUGGCCCAAUAUAGCUGAAAUGAUUAGCUUGCUGGAGAAGGAACCUGGUUCCAUCAAUUCAAAGUGGUUGCUCUCUUUAGGGUUUCACCUUUUUCCUACACAAUUUUCAACUAUGCCAUUGUGGUAACAAGUAUGAGGUUUUGGCCCUGAAGCUUUCCUUUAUAUCUACAGUGGUUGGUUAAUAAGGACAUUAGCAGGUGCAAAGUACGGAAUCCUGCACCUGGCUACAGUGGAAAUUAUAUACAACAUUAUCUCCUUGUACAUCAUUUUUCAAGGAAGAGAAGAAACAAUCUAAUGUCCUUGAUAUCAUGGAAGAAAGUUAAGAUGAUGUAAAAGGCAGUUGUGCU